GCAGCAGUUGUCGUUGUUGGCGCAGCAGUUGUUGUCGUUGGUGCAUCAGUUGUCGUUGUUGCUGAAGCAGUUGUUGUUGCAGCAAUUGUCGUUGGUUUAGCAGUGGUUGGUGUUGGUGCGGCAGCUGUCGUUUUGGUGCAGCAGUUGUCCUUGUUGGGGCAGCAAUUGUCGUUGUUGCAGAAGUUGCCGUUGUUGGUGCAUUAAUUGUCGUUGUUGGUACAGCAGUUGUUGUUGUUGGUGCAGUAGUUGUUGUUGGUGCAGAAGUUGUUGUUGUUGGUGCAGCAGUUGUUGUCGUUGGUGCUACAGUUGUCGUUGGUGCAGCAGUUGUCGUUGUGAGUGAGCUGUCGUUGCUGGUGCAGCAGUUGUCGUUGGUGCAGCAGUGGUUGUUGUUGGUGCAGCAGUUGUCGUUGUUGGUGCAGCAGUUGUCAUUUGUGCAGCAGUUGUCGUUGGUCCAGCAGUUGUCAGUGUUGGUGCCGUGGUUGUGGUUGUUGGAGCCGCUGUUAUGGUUGUUGGUGCCACUGUUGAAGUUGUUGGAGCUGCUGUUGUGGUUGUUGGAGCAGCUGUUGUGGUUGUUGGAGUUGCUGUGGUGGUUGUUGGAAGUGCUGUUGUGGUUGUUGGAGCCGCUGUUGUGGUUGUUGGAGCUGCUGUGGUGGUUGGUGGACCCAGGCCUGUUGUUGUUGGAGCUGCAGUUGUGGUUGGUGGAGGUGCUGUUGUUGUAGUUGGAACUGGAGUUGUGGUACUUGGAGCUGCUGUUGUGGUACUUGGAGCUGCUGUUGUGGUUGUUGGAACAGCGAUUGUGAUUGUUGGAGCCGCUGUUGUAGUGGUAGGAGCUGCUGUUGUGGUUGUGGGACCUACUGUUGUGGUUGUUGGAGCUGCUGUUGUGGUUGUUGGAACUGCUGUAGUGGUUGUUGGAACUGCUGUCAUGGUGAUUGGAGCUACUGUUGUGGUUGUUGGUCCUGCAGUUGUGGUUGUUGGACCUGCGGUUGUAGUUGUUUGACCAGCUGUUGUGGUGGUUGGAGCAGGUGUUGUAGUUGUUGGACCUGCUGUUGUGGUUGUUGGAACAGCGGUUGUGAUUGUUGGAGCCGCUGUUGUAGUGGUAGGAGCUGCUGUUGUAGUGGUAGGAGCUGCUGUUGUGGUUGUUGGAACUGCUGUUGUGGUUGUUGGAACUGAUGUCGUGGUGGUUGGAGCUACUGUUGUGGUUGUUGGUCCUGCAGUUGUGGUUGUUGGAGUUGUGGUUAUUGGACCUGCGGUUGUGGUUGUUGGAGCUGCUGUUGGGGUCAUCGGAGCCGUGGUUGUCGGACCUGUUG
ensembl:lncRNA